rnacentral:rRNA from 1 species
GACGAACGCUGGCGGCGUGCCUAAUACACGCAAGUUGAGCGCUGAAGGUUGGUACUUGUACCAACUGGAUGAGCAGCGAACGGGUGAGUAACGCGUGGGGAAUCUGCCUUUGAGCGGGGGACAACAUUUGGAAACGAAUGCUAAUACCGCAUAAAAACUUUAAACACAAGUUUUAAGUUUGAAAGAUGCAAUUGCAUCACUCAAAGAUGAUCCCGCGUUGUAUUAGCUAGUUGGUGAGGUAAAGGCUCACCAAGGCGAUGAUACAUAGCCGACCUGAGAGGGUGAUCGGCCACAUUGGGACUGAGACACGGCCCAAACUCCUACGGGAGGCAGCAGUAGGGAAUCUUCGGCAAUGGACGAAAGUCUGACCGAGCAACGCCGCGUGAGUGAAGAAGGUUUUCGGAUCGUAAAACUCUGCUGGUAGAGAAGAACGUUGGUGAGAGUGGAAAGCUCAUCAAGUGACGGUAACUACCCAGAAAGGGACGGCUAACUACGUG